UUCUCAAUUGUAACCAACCAGUGUUGGCUGAAACAGUGUCAACCACAACAUGGCGUUGAUUCGUCUGUCCUUAGACCUCCUGAAAAGACACGUAUUCCUUCGUCUGCUAUCAAGAGGAAGCCCUACAGAGACCAUCUAAUGAUGCUUAACCAUGCUGACUACCUGCACUAAAUAUAAUACAGGAAGCUGAUGGUGAGGACAGCAGAACAGAGAUGGAAUAAGAUGCCAGUUCCAUGCAGGUCACAUUUAGCUCCAGAUUGUUUUCACAUCAGAUUUAGCUGGCAUCAUAUCCUAGGAUUCUGCAGUUGGAGUGAAACCAGCUCACAGACUGAUGGAAAAAACCAAUGCUUAGUGAAGAAAGAAACACUUCAAAGAAUUUUCUUCCUUUAAUAUCCUUUAACAGGUCACUGAUGGUUGCCACCAUGAUUCUUCACUGUUUGUGGUCACUUACAGAGCUGCAGGUGCAAAAGAGACUUCUUAAUCUACAACUGACAAGAUUAUAAACUCCCCUAAACUUGGAUUUAUCUAUGACUUACGCACACCUUUGUGAUCUUUGGUUUUGGCAAUGCAUCCUUAGGAAUGAAACUGCAGAUUCAGAUUGCAUUAGGGUUUGGAGUGUAACUCCAUGCCAUGCUAUCAUCCAUUGCAAAUCUCAAGUGUUCUCAGUCUGGUGGGUAGAGAAAAGCACUUCAUAGUCACCUGCUAUGGUUAUCAAAAGAGGUGUAACCUGAGACUGUCAGUGUAAGAGAAAGGGUUCAGCAUCUGAGCUAACCCACCAAAGUCAGCAACACACGUUAUCUGUACACUGUCUUAGGCAACAAUUCCUUUUGUUCUACAAAACUUGUCUCUGAAUAGCAUUGCUUUGCCUGGUUGGCCUAUUUAAUUUAGUGCUUUCAUAACAUUUCCAGUCGGUCAUAACUUUCCCAAGACGGAUAUCGGGUUUCAUAACCCUUUUCCUUCCAGAAAAAAAAAUGUUAGAGGAGGGUUACUUUCUGUUAUUGCUGGCUUUUACAAAAAGCCACACUGAAAGAAAAAGAACUGAAACCAGUUAUUUGCGAGAUUAUAAAAUUACUUUUGCUUGACAUAGAGCACUUUUUUAGCUGUUUCAACUGCUUGUAAAGCUCAGACACAGUAUAAACUGCCUGCAACCACUGUUUAGGGACUUAUUGCACUCUAAAAUUAGGGUGACAACUAAUUAGUGAUAACUAAUAAAAGAAACAUAAAGUUAUGUGAAUAAAAAAAAAAACUGACUGGGGGUUUGUGUUCUGGUAAUUGUUAAAACAACUGGGUUUCUGCAUAUGGUAACUAAGCAGGGCUGUCCUACAAAACUAGGUAAGAUCACAGCUCUGUUUACGCAGCUCCACAUUUGCACCAUUUCCUAGCAAUGCAGGAAAGGCCAUAGUUCUUGACAGACAAUUCCUUCACAAACACACAAACACAAGCAGAAAACAACUGUUGUGUAUGUUCGCUUUCUGGCUCUCUGGGGCUUCCCAUGGAGGCUCUGGUGACACUUGUCCAUGUAUCUUAUUUCUGCCUUCUCUUUGUGUUGCUCCAGGAUUUGCCCAACCUAUUCAGCAGUACCUCCCUGGUGCCAGCAGCACAGUAAGCAGCAACUUGGCAGGAAAAAUCUCUUUUUACCCCAGACCUACCACUGUGU